rnacentral:rRNA from 1 species
CCUACGGGUGGCAGCAGUGAGGAAUAUUGGUCAAUGGACGAGAGUCUGAACCAGCCAAGUAGCGUGAAGGAUGACUGCCCUAUGGGUUGUAAACUUCUUUUAUAAAGGAAUAAAACGAGGCACGUGUGCCUUUUUGCAUGUACUUUAUGAAUAAGGAUCGGCUAACUCCGUGCCAGCAGCCGCGGUAAUACGGAGGAUUCGAGCGUUAUCCGGAUUUAUUGGGUUUAAAGGGAGCGUAGAUGGGUUGUUAAGUCAGUUGUGAAAGUUUGCGGCUCAACCGUAAAAUUGCAAUUGAUACUGGCAGUCUAGAGGGUAGGUGAGGUAGGCGGAAUGCGUGGUGUAGCGGUGAAAUGCUUAGAUAUCACGAAGAACCCCGAUUGCGAAGGCAGCUUACCAACCUGUGACUGACGUUGAGGCACGAAAGUGUGGGUAUCAAACAGGAUUAGAUACCCUUGUAGUC